GGAGAGUCACGUACAGAUCUCGUUAUCAACGAGAACUUGGGCGACCGGCGACGAUCAGCUGAUCAGAUACGGAGCCCGCUGAGCGCGAUGCGUUUGUUUUUGACGGCUGUGUUUGCGUAGCGUUCUCCCGGCAGCAUCAUAGACUUCGAGUCGAGUGAUGAAGAAGAGGUUGUGGCGGUGCUGAUGUGCUCAGCCAACGUGUCAGCGCUGGCAGCACGAAAACGUUCAAAGCAAGCAAGGCGGUGGUGGGUGAGACCGUCCCUUCGCUCGCGAGAAGUGGCUGGCCACACAGGGCGUCUGCUUCCCGACUUGCGCUCGCACGACGAGGAGUAUUUCCGAGACUUCAUGCGGAUGCCGCCACGAACGUUCGACACUUUGCUCGAACUGCUGCGCCCAGCAAUAUCCAAGCAGGACACAAACCACCGGCCUACAAUUUCGGCGCACGACUGCCUGGCCAUGACCAUUAGGUAUGCCAAGGAAGUGCGAGAUAAAUUGGCGCACUACUUCGUCACAGACGGUCAGGUGCCUUGGCAGGACAAAGUGGUGAACAGCACUUGAGGCGUACAAGGUGAAGGUGUCGACACCAGUCUCCUCAGCCGUAUCAGGGGUACGUUCCGGUUCCGCUGCAUGGCUUGGCCGAGGCGGUGAUCUGCAGUGAUGAAAACUUCUCUCUAUGUAUUUGAUGAUGCCACUGGUACAUGAACAGUUUUAGGCAUUCCUCGGGAGUUAAAAUGCCAUUAUGAUUUCACUCAACACGAGGUUUAUUUUACACUUGCGUUACCUCUUGAUUGAGCACUGCUGUAUGGAAGGUGUGCAUACAGAAGUUUAAUGUGCCUAUUAUGUUAAUAAAAUGCUAUGUAGGUUGCACAUCUAAAUGAGAACAAGAGAUAUUGUCACGGAGAUGAAGUAAAGGUAGAGGAAGAACUCAAGCAGCUGAUAAGCACGUGAGGGUGUUAAUCAGCCAUUGUGAAUCUUGCCUGUGGGUUUUCCCCUGUAAACGCAUUUUGUACAAAAGUCUCUAACCCCGUAACAAUAUCUCACUGGCUAUGUGAAUGAAAUUUAUACAGUCAAUCCUAAAUGGCUGUGCAAACAAUGUGUCUGAUGAAACUGUGCCUGCUGUCAUUAUGUUUCUUGAACACAUACUACAUACGACUUUUGCAGCAUCAUUUUACUGCUAGGAAUGAGUGAAUGCUUCACAUUAUUCAGCUCACUUGUAUUGCAAUCAGCACUGGGCACUUGUUCAUAACGAAUUGACAUGAAUGUGUUGCCAGUGUAUGCAGAUAAUACAUUAGUUUGCUUAAUUGCGACCUGUCGCUGAUGAAUACUUUGCUUUUUCAGAAAUAUUUGACGUUGUACAAUAACCACAUUCACACAGAAACAAGGCCUGUGCCCUCAUGUAUUCCUGUGUGCUUUUGUUCAGUGUUGAGUGCUGAAUGUAUUUAAAAAGAUGCAGUGGUUUGGGCAAGCUAACGACCUGAACACCGCCUUUCAAGCACGCUUGUAUUUUUCAUAAUUUUGCAAAGUACAAUCACCUAGUAAUAAAAAAUAAUGUUUCUGGGUUGAAGUCCAUGCGUGUACAGCUUCAAGUGCGUGCACAUGGUACUGAAAAUGUUUGUGUAUGCUCACCUCUCGUUAGCCUCUUCUGCUGUGAUGUGGCUGCUGCAAGAGAACAUGCAAUAUGUGAUUCUGUCAGUGCUAUUGUUUGCAUUUUUAGAGCAUUUUCACUGUUUUGCUACAAUAUAAGUACUUAUGCUGCAUUCUUGUAAUGAAUAUGUGCAAUGCUUGUCUAUGAACAGCCUCAUGACACAUGCAAUAAGCGAUCUCUUUAGAUUUUUAGAUUUUGUAUUAAGCCUUCCUUCUUUUGGUAAAUGAGAGCCGAGAAUGACACAGAAAGUACACUCAAUUCUCUCAUUCUUACUGUUCUGUCUUCAAUAUUCUGUUUUGUGAAGCUGUCCACGUGUUACUUGUACGGUAUGCUAUACUUUUUGUGUUGUGCUGAUGCAUUGUGCUAUGCUAACCAAAACAUUUCAUUUUCUGUUCAAUGGAGGGUAAGCAUUAUUCAUUACCUUUGGUCGAUGGCACUCAUGUUGCACAGUACCCUAGAAUGAUGCACAGAGUUAUUCUUCGUAGCUGUAGCCACAAUUACUCGACAUCAAAACAGCCCAUUGCCACCAUGUUCAUGAUCACAUGCAUGCCCACUGUGAAUUACCUCUUGGGACUUCUAUGUUUAUGUGCAGUGUACUUAUGUGUAUUGAUAUGUGUGUAUUUAUGUGUAUGUAUAACAGUCAUGUGAAUUAAAUCAACUUUUUUUUUUGUUUAGUACUCAAUAGUCAACUAAUACUGAACUUCAGCCACAGGCUCAGAUUCUCCUUCCAUUAAUUUAAGCAUAGCCUCAAAAUGGGGCCAUUUUAUUGUUGGAAUGUCGGCUGCUCCGGCUCCACUUCUUUGUCUUUCACGUAUGUCUUGUUGUUUGCUUUUGAAGAUAUCACGCAGGUUCUUAAAUCGUUUCUCAACAAGGACACCUGGAAACAAAACCCUUGCUGUAAGAAUGUAUUGUGCAUACUGUAUUGCUGAUAAAUUUUCUACUUUAUUUCAGCACAA
rnacentral:lncRNA from 1 species